rnacentral:rRNA from 1 species
AGUGAACGCUGGCGGUAGGCCUAACACAUGCAAGUCGUACGGCAGCACAGUAAGAGCUUGCUCUUACGGGUGGCGAGUGGCGGACGGGUGAGGAAUACAUCGGAAUCUACUUUUUCGUGGGGGAUAACGUAGGGAAACUUACGCUAAUACCGCAUACGACCUACGGGUGAAAGCAGGGGAUCUUCGGACCUUGCGCGAUUGAAUGAGCCGAUGUCGGAUUAGCUAGUUGGCGGGGUAAAGGCCCACCAAGGCGACGAUCCGUGGCUGGUCUGAGAGGAUGAUCAGCCACACUGGAACUGAGACACGGUCCAGACUCCUACGGGAGGCAGCAGUGGGGAAUAUUGGACAAUGGGCGCAAGCCUGAUCCAGCCAUACCGCGUGGGUGAAGAAGGCCUUCGGGUUGUAAAGCCCUUUUGUUGGGAAAGAAAAGCAGCAGGUUAAUACCCCGCUGUUCUGACGGUACCCAAAGAAUAAGCACCGGCUAACUUCGUG